CACGUAGUUAGCCGUGGCUUUCUGGUUAGGUACCGUCAAGGUGCCGCCCUAUUUGAACGGCACUUGUUCUUCCCUAACAACAGAGCUUUACGAUCCGAAAACCUUCAUCACUCACGCGGCGUUGCUCCGUCAGACUUUCGUCCAUUGCGGAAGAUUCCCUA
rnacentral:rRNA from 1 species